UACAGAGGUCUCAAGCGUUGUUCGGAUUCAUUGGGCGUAAAGGGUGCGUAGGCGGCGCGGUAAGUCGGGUGUGAAAGCCCUGGGCUCAACCCCGGGCGGCCGCCCGAAACUGGCGCGCUUGAGGACGGAAGAGGGGAGUGGAAUUCCUGGUGUAGCGGUGAAAUGCGUAGAGAUCAGGAGGAACACCCGUGGCGAAGGCGGCUCCCUGGUCCGUCCCUGACGCUGAGACGCGAAAGCGCGGGGAGCGAACGGGG
rnacentral:rRNA from 1 species